GCAGCUUUAGCUCACUUGGGAGAGCGCCAGACUGAAGUUUCACUUCGGUUCUUACGAUCUUCCGAACGACUUGCUUCGUCGGAAGCAUCAGCCCUGUGCGGUAUCUGGAGGUACUGUGUUCGAUCCACAGAAGCUGCA